rnacentral:rRNA from 1 species
GAUGAACGCUGGCGGCGUGCCUAAUACAUGCAAGUCGAGCGAGCGGACGAGAAGCUUGCUUUUCUGAUGUUAGCGGCGGACGGGUGAGUAACACGUGGAUAACCUACCUAUAAGACUGGGAUAACUUCGGGAAACCGGAGCUAAUACCGGAUAAUAUUUUGAACCGCAUGGUUCAAAAGUGAAAGACGGUCUUGCUGUCACUUAUAGAUGGAUCCGCGCUGCAUUAGCUAGUUGGUAAGGUAACGGCUUACCAAGGCAACGAUGCAUAGCCGACCUGAGAGGGUGAUCGGCCACACUGGAACUGAGACACGGUCCAGACUCCUACGGGAGGCAGCAGUAGGGAAUCUUCCGCAGUGGGCGAAAGCCUGACGGAGCAACGCCGCGUGAGUGAUGAAGGUCUUCGGAUCGUAAAACUCUGUUAUUAGGGAAGAACAUAUGUGUAAGUAACUGUGCACAUCUUGACGGUACCUAAUCAGAAAGCCACGGCUAACUACGU